AGGACGAAGCCAUGCAUGCCCGCUCACCCGGGACGCGGCGGACGGCUCAGGACAACGGUUGCACCCCCCGCGGCGGUCCCUGCUAGCCGGACACCGCUGGCAACCCGGCGCCAAGACGUGCGCGCAAGGGCGGGCGCCCGCGGGCGAGCAGCGUGACGCAGCGACGGCCCGCCCGGGCUUCCGGGGCAUCACCCGGUCGGCGCGGUCGCGGCGCGCCGAGGGCCCGACGCCUGGCGGAGAAUCAGGGUUCGAC
rnacentral:rRNA from 1 species